UACGUAGGGACCGAGCGUUGUCCGGAAUCAUUGGGCGUAAAGAGCGUGUAGGCGGCCACUUAAGUCCUGCGUGAAAUCUUGCGGCUCAACCGCAAGCGGUCGUGGGAAACUGGGUGGCUAGAGUGUGGUAGGGGAGACUGGAAUUCCCGGUGUAGCGGUGAAAUGCGCAGAUAUCAGGAGGAACACCGAUGGCGAAGGCAGGUCUCUGGGCCACUACUGACGCUGAGAAGCGAAAGCGUGGGGAGCGAACAGG
rnacentral:rRNA from 1 species